AGAGAGAGAGAGAGAGAGAAUACAAGGUGUGUAUUUUGGCUUGUACAAGAAACCCUAGUUUUCAGCCUCAGUCGUCAGUGACAAUUGAGUUCUAUUAACCUAUGUCAAUUGAAGAAAUCUGGGAAUAAACUAAUUAAAAAGAUAUGAGAUGGUGAAAUAUUUCUAUAUUUUUGAAGAAUUAAUACAUAAAAAAUAUGACCCAUUUAGGUUUUUGAUACAUAUCUAUCAGUAGAAAGAUUUGAGUCGAAAGAAAGACAAAAGAUAAAAUUGAAAAAUCUGAACAAUAACUCCUAAAAAUUAACAUCCCAACAACCAACAAGCUACAACUUAGAAAAAUGGAUCAGGUCACGGGUUGAUGAGUUCAUUCAUCAACGAAUAAAGAACACAGAGAGAGAAAGAGAGAGAG
rnacentral:misc_RNA from 1 species